AUAGCCCCGAUAGUAGCGGCAUCCUCUUUCUUUUUUUUUAAAAAAAAGGAAGAGAUAUAGCGGAUAGCGGGAUUAAG
rnacentral:sRNA from 1 species